rnacentral:pre_miRNA from 1 species
CUUGUACUCCCUCCGUCCGAAAAUACUUGUCAUCGAAAUGGAUGUAUCUAGAUGUAUUUUAGUUCUAGACACAUCCAUUUUGAUGACAAGUAAUUCCGAACGGAGGGAGUAUUUG